CCCGAGGCGGGGGGGCGCGCGGCUGGGGCCGCGGCUCCGGGGGCGGGCGGGGCGGGGGGGGGCGCGGGGCUCGGGGCUGCCCCGACGGCCCCGCAGCGCGCGUGAUCCCUGUGCGCCGAGGGGGACCCGUUCCCGGGCGGGCUCCGUGAGAGGCCGGGAGCCCUCGUCUCAACCCUGUCUCCAAACUCCGACCAGAAAAGGAGCAUCCUCCACCCGAGCCGCCCGUCAGCCGCCCCGAACCCCGCAGCGGGCCGAAGUCUGCGAGCGCGGGUCCCGCAGCCCGGCCUCAGCGUGGGGCCGAGGAGCCGCCGCCCGGGCCGCCCGCCCCCGGCGCAGAACCCCGGUGGGCUCCGCUGGCUCCGCGCGGGGGGUGAGGCUGGCGACGCGGGUCGGGACGGAGACCCCCGGCCCAGAACACGCGCGCGGACGAAGCAGCAACAGCGGUACCCGAAGGAUGGAGAAAAGAAAGAAGAGGCGCAGGCGGGUCAGAAUUCAGUCUGAGGCCUGCGUCUCCGUGGCCUCUUGCCCAGCCCGGGGACCCGCGCUCCUUUCGCUCUCCCUGCUCAGGAUCCGGCGGCGGCCUCGUCCGUCAGACAACCCGAGGGCCGCAGGAUGGAGCUGAGAAUCUUCUCUGGCGUUCCGAGCUACGAAGCCUGACAUUUCAGGUCCUCCUGCUCUCCGGGGCAGUAGGUUACCGGGCGAUCGGGCCCGGGGGUCCUCUGGGCUCCGUGCAAGGCCCAGCCCGCCGGCUUCCUCGCACUUGGAUCCCCAGGGGGGUGGGUGCCUUUCUGUGCGACCCCAGGUGUGUUCACAGUGGAACCCACCCCCAAGGAUGGAGCUGAGGUCCCCAGACUGACUGAACCAUUUCUGGAGUUGAAUCUCCCAGGAUUCUGAUUGAAAGGGGGAUCUGGCCACUAUCAUAACCCACACAUUCUCUUAUACUGAGAGAAACACCACAAAAGGGUUCCCCACCCCUGUGGGCCUUGCCCACUGUUAGAGCUCAGCACCCAGCACAGUGGCAGAGAAGAAGGCAGCCAAGAAACAUUUGUGGGUCUGUGGUUGAAGUAGUCUUUAGUGGCAGGUGUAAACCCCAGCUUCUCCACCCCUGAGAGCUCCGGGACUGGAAUCCUCUUGCAUGGCCACAGUUCAAACUCCAAGAGAUGCACGCAGGCUGAUCUCCUGGUAAGAACCUUAGGCUGAGUGGUUAGCACCCCUAACCUGCUGACAGCACAGCCCAACAUGCACAAAUGCUUUCCUUUUACUGGCCUCAGCUUCCCUUGCUUAUAGGUAAACCCAUGUGAGCCUGACACUUUUAUACUCCCUGCAAAACGCUGUUUUGACAAUGAUCUUUGCAGUAGUCAGGACAAGAGGAAUCCCAUCUCAGAGAUAAAGGAUAUAUUGUUAGCACAGCCAGAUUGCAUUCCAUCCACUUAAAAAAAAAAAUCCUAUUUUUAAUUAAAGUAUGGGAUCCCUGUGUGGCGCAGCGGUUUAGCACCUGCCUUUGGCCCAGGGCGCGAUCCUGGAGACCUGGGAUCAAAUCCCACGUCGGGCUCCCGGUGCAUGGAGCCUGCUUCUCCCUCUGCCUGUGUCUCUGCCUCUCUCUCUCUCUCUCUCUUUCUCUAUCUCAUGAAUAAAUAAAAAUUAAAAAAAAUAAAGUAUAGUUGACAUAAUAUGCCAGUUUCAGGUGUAUGACACAGUGAUACAACAAUUUUACACAUUACAAAACCCAUCUACUUUUAAGGUCAGGAGAUGGAAAGAAAAAAAAAAUUGAUGACCAUAAUCUCAGUGCAGUGCUCCAAAGAGAGGUCCCAGGCAAGUCAGAGGUCUAUUACUUUGUGGUUCCCACAGGAUUCUGGAAGAAAAUGGGUGUCAAACCCUUAAGUCCUUUCACAAUGUUGGGCCAUUGCAAACUCGCCCUUGAGAAGGCUGACACUGCACCAGGGUGCAUGGGGCUGUGUGUCACCUUGCUUCUGAAGAGGUAGCUCUGUCUUCUGGGCAGAGCAGAAGGCAGCAGGAAAAAGGACUGCUUCCCAUUUUUCUUUCUUUCUUUCUUUCUUUCUUCUUUCUUUCUUUCUUUCUUUCUUUCUUUCUUUCUUUCUUUCUUUCUUUCUUUUUUUUUUUUUUUAAGGGCUUAAGUGGUAGAGAAUAAAGCCUGUUGCCAUAGUUAUAUAAACAUGAGUAGAUAUUCCUAGGCUGAGGACAGGGGAUGGGGGACAUUCAUUCUUGCUGAAGAAGAAUCAAAUAGUUCAACCUCCUCUCUACUGUCCCCCAAAAGUCAGCCUGGAGGGAGGAUGAGAUUAUCUCUGACAUUGGCUGCAAACACACUUUUCUCAAAGCCAUCCAGAGCUGGGGUGGAACCCUCUGGAAGGCAGCUCAGCAUUUGCCCUCUGCUGGUGGAGAUUCCUGUGUGGGGAGUACUUGUCCUGAGGGAGAGGGUAAAGCUUCUGGAAAUGGUGUCUUAAGGGUAUCAAACUCAUGGGGUUUGCCCAGCCCAGUCAGGGAGGGUGGCCCCCUUUGUCCCAGUGCCAAAGCCUGGAGGUCCUGGCACCAACGACUGAGCUCAAAGGGAGAGGCAGAACCAGUUGUGUCCCAACAGAGCUCGCAUCCUAAACUAAACAAUGGAAACACUGCUGCUUUACUGGCUCUAUUUCCUGUGGCCCCCACCUGGAGGUCCCCACCCAUGGCGUCCCUGCCAGCUCUGGAAGGUGUAUCCCUGGGCGAAGCAGUGCCCAUCUCCACUGGCAGCAGAAGAGCCGAGGAGCUCACACUGACAUGAGGAGAGACACAUGUGGCCACAUGCAGUCUG
rnacentral:lncRNA from 1 species